CAAGGAGUCUGACAUGUGUGCGAGUCAACGGGUGAGUAAACCUGUAAGGCGCAAGGAAGCUAAUUGGUGGGAUCCUUUUGUGGGUUGCACCGCCGACCGACCCUGAUCUUCUGUGAAGGGUUCGAGUGAGAGCAUACCUUUGGGGACCUGAACGAUGGUGAACUAUGCUUGAGCGGGGCGAAGCCAGAGUAAACUCUAGUGGAGGCCUGCACCGAUACUGACGUGCAAAUCGUUCGUCUGACUUGGGUAUAGGGGUGAAAGACUAAUCGAACCGUCUAGUAGCUGGUUCCCUCUGAAGUUUCCCUCAAAAUAGCUGGAGCCCGCAGGUGAGUUCUAUCGGGUAAAGCCAAUGAUUAGAGGCAUCGGGGGCGCAACGCCCUCAACCUAUUCUCAAACUUUAAAUAGGUAGGAUGGGGCGACUGCUCUGUUGAGCCGUGCCACGGAAUCGAGAGCUCCAAGUGGGCCAUUUUUGGUAAGCAGAACUGGCGAUGCGGGAUGAACCGGAAGUUGGGUUAUGGUGCCCAACUUGAUGGCAUUUCAUGAAGGUCUUCUUGAAUCAUGUAAGAAAAGUGGUGCGGAAGCUAUGAAGGUGUGUGAGCAAGAUCCUCCUAAGAGUGGUGUUGAUCUUG
rnacentral:ncRNA from 1 species